AGCGAACGCUGGCGGCAGGCCUAACACAUGCAAGUCGAGCGCCGUAGCAAUACGGAGCGGCAGACGGGAUAGUAACACGUGGGAACGUGCCCUCUGGUUCGGAAUAACUCAGGGAAACUUGAGCUAAUACCGGAUAAGCCCUUACGGGGAAAGAUUUAUUGCCAUAGGAGCGGCCCGCGUCGGAUUAGCUAGUUGGUGAGGUAAUGGCUCACCAAGGCGACGAUCCGUAGCUGGUCUGAGAGGAUGACCAGCAUCACUGGGACUGAGACACGGCCCAGACUCCUACGGGAGGCAGCAGUGGGGAAUAUUGGACAAUGGGCGCAAGCCUGAUCCAGCCAUGCCGCGUGGAUGAUGAAGGCCCUAGGGUUGUAAAGUCCUUUUAACGGGGAGGAUAAUGACGGUACCCGUAGAAUAAGCCCCGGCUAACUUCGUGCCAGCAGCCGCCGUAA
rnacentral:rRNA from 1 species